UCGGCGGCUACUUGGGUGCCUCAGGUGUCUGUAGAGGUUUAGAGGUUAACCCUACCCUAAAUAAGGAGUUCAACAAAUAGGAUGAAGAAAAAGACACUGUUCUUCAACAGUAGAGACAAGGAAUGAAGUCUCCAGCAAGCGGUUGGCCUUCUGUGUAUCUGGUAAGUCUUAGUGAACCCCGAGGAGCCAGUGUAGGACAAGAGCUGUAGUCUCACUGCAGAUAUAUCUGAGUGAGAUUCUGAAGAAAGCCUGAGAAGAGCCCAUGCAGGUAUUUCAGAGGAAAACAUUUCCAGCAGAAGAAGAACCAAAUGCAAAAUAUUUGAGGUGCAACUGCAGAAUGGUAAGAAGGCUAGAGUAGAAUGAGCUAAAGGGCGAAUUGUGUAAUUUUUAUAAAAUAUUUACAUUUAACAAAUGAAAACAGAAAUGCAAUGCAAUAUAACCAGACUUUUCACAAGAUGACUAAAUAAUUAUUCAAAAAUGAAUUCACAGUCCAUUGCAACUGCAUUAUCCAGGAUCCCCCUGAGAAACAAGGUUCAACAGGCUCUGCUUAUUAGCAGUCCUUCUAUUAUGGGGUACUGCAGUUUGACAUUGACUGUUUAGGGAGCACUGGAAGUACUGCGAGAAGACCAAUAAUUUCUCUGCAUACCAGACAUAUAUUUUAACUCCGACCAAGAAUUUCCCUGCAUACCAGACAUAUAUUUGAACUCUGAUAUGUAGUUACUACUCAGUCUUUCCUGGAUAGACAGGAUUCAUCAUUCCAGCCAGUACGGUAACUUCUUCUUGUUGCUUUAUUGGCAUGGGGAGCCCAAACUGACUACUUGGCUGCUUUACCUUCUAUUUUAAUGGAACCAUUGAUAGGUCUAAUAGAAGCAUCUCCUCCUCAGAAACUAAAAACCCUGACCAGCAGAGCCCAAGGUCGUAAGAAUGGGAGAAAAAAAUUUUCACUGGGGAUAAAACUGGUAGAGAGAGAACUUACUCCUAUUUCCACUGUUUGAUUUCCAGACCUGUGAAUUCUGGCUAUGGAAAAUAAAAUCAUAUAAUGAUGGCUCGUCUAGAACAUGUCAUACAUGCUAUUUACCAUCAAGCCGAUAAUGUAACAAAAGCCAUUUCCUUGUUCUGUGAACCUAGCUAUUUGGAACAUAGUAAGAUCAGUGGAUUCCAUGAACAGGCGCCUACAGAUACAUUUAAUUUCCUCAAAACUGAGUCUCUUGGUCAGAAGUCAUGCUGUGUGGAAUAACAAGAUAGGGAAUAAACCUUUCCAUAAUUUCAUGAACACUAUUUUUGACCUUAUCCAAAACUGCUAAAUUGUUCAAUAAAUGGGUUGGUGUAGAAAGCAUUGAUGGGAUAUGUGUUACCUCUUUAUCUUAGUGACAAGAGAGGCCUGAAGUAGUAACUUUUUCUUCAUCUUGCAAGGGAUAUCUUAACAACGUCCAGACCACUAGUCUAUAAAUUUAUCCCAGGUGAUAGUACCUCUCUGGAUUUUCAUGGGAUUUACUUCCCAUAUUUAAUAUUUUAUCAAGGUAAGGUAUAUGAAGUAAUUGGUGUCAAGAACUGUUAAGCCUCUUAAUAUUUUGCCUCACUUGUAUGCUAACAAAUUGUGUUUUAUGGAUAUUGGUAGAAGAUUUGAGAUCCCUGAGUCUGAGAUAAGGGACUUUAUACUCCUGGCAAUAUUAGUAAUCACAGCAACAGCACUUACACCAGUUAUCCAAGCCUGAGGUCCUGGAGGGCAAUCCACAGAGAAUGUUGUGUACAUGUAAUCAGUUCCUGAGCUUUAGGACCUUGAAUUUUUUUAAAGAAAUUUAUUUAUUUAUUUGAAAAGCAAAGUUACAGAGAGGCAGUGGCAGAGAAAGAGAGAGAGAGAGGUCUUUCAUCCACUGGUCUUUCAUCACCCAGAUGGCCGCAACAGCUGGAGCUGUGCCAAUCUGAAGCCCGGAGCCAGGCACUUCUUUCAGGUAUCGCAUGUGGGUGCAGGGGCCCAAGGACUUGCACCAUCUUCUAAAGCUUUCCAAGGCCAUAGCAGAGAGCUGGAUCAGAAGUGGAACAGCCGGGACUCGAACCGGCGCCCAUAUGGGAUGCCAGCACUACAGGCGCUGGCUUUACCUGCUAGGACCUUGAAUCUUUUAUAAUGGCUGCCCGUUGCUCUAGAAGGAGAUAUUGUCAGUAUUAUAUUGUGUGGUAAGCAUGCUUAAUCUUUUCUUUGGAGGGAGACAGUCUGUCUGUCUUGCAGUGUUAGUUGCUUGACAAAAUUCCUUAAAAAGAUAAGACAGGCCAGCGCUGCAGCUUACUAGGCUAAUCCCCUGCCUGCGGCACCAGUACCCUGCGUUCUAGUCCCAGUUGGGGUGCCAGAUUCUGUCCUGGUUGCUCCUCUUCCAGUCCAGCUCUCUGCUGUGGUCUGGGAAGGCAGUGGAGGAUGGCCCAAGUCCUUGAGCCCUGCACCCUCAUGGGAGACCAGGAGGAGGCACCUGGCUCUUGGCUUCGGAUCAGCACAGGGCGCUGGACAUAGCGGCCAUUUGGGGGGUGAACCAAAGGAAGGAAGACCUUUCUCUUUGUAUCUCUCUCUCACUGUCUAACUCUGCCUGUCCAAAAAAAAAAAAAAAAAAAGAUAAGACAAAAGCAUUCAGGGUUUCUGCUUUUGAUAUAAAGAUGUGAAAAACAUUACUAAGAGUUGAUCCUUUCAGUUCAUCAGUGGGAAAAAUCAGCAUGAUGUCACCAAUAUGUUCUGUGGAAUGAAGAGAUGAUAGAGUCCUUGAACAAAAUUAAGACAUAGGACUGGAGAGUGGCUGUUUCUCUGAGGAUAGUGAAGAUAGAGUUCUGAUCCUUUCGGCUGAAAGCAAAUAGCUUUGUAUGGUUAUGAUCAUUGCUAACAGGUAUAGAGAGAAAAGCAUUUGCCAGAUCAAUGACUGCAUUCACUUGCUAGGGACAUAUUGAUUUGAUACAACAAUAAAACUACAUUUGGAAUAGUAUCUGCAAUUUGAAUCACAGCAUGAUUAUGUUUCUGAAAAUCCACUGUCAUUCUCCUAGAUUAAUUUGUCUUCUAUACAGGCCAAAUAGGUGAAUAUAAUGGGUCAUAGUAGGAAUCACUCUCUUGCAUCUUUCAAAUCUUUGAUUAGUUAAUAAUAAUCUAUAAAAUCCCUCCACGCAUGUAGUAUUGCUUUUAGUUUACUCUUUUGGUAAGUAGAGGCAGCUUUGGGGGCUUCCUUUUGGCCUUUCCACCACAACAUCUUCACUUCACAGAUCAGGGAACCAAUGUGGGGAGUUUGCCAAUUGCUGAGCAUGAGUAUUCCAAGUAUGCAUUCCAGGCUGGGGAAAUCACAAAAAGGGUGGGUUGGAAUUCAUUGAGAUCACUAUUAGAAAGACUUUAUCAAACUUAGUUGAUCACUUGACCUUCAUAAAUGCCUGUACUAUCUAGUACACUAGUGUUUGGGCUCCAGAAUUUAGUUCCCAUUAGAGCCAUUGCCCACUCAUCUCUCAAAUAUUUUAUUAAUUAUCCUUCCCUUUCACAGUCACUCUGGUGAAUGGCCCCAGGUCCUUCUAGAAAAGGCUAGAAGUGAGAUUCACUGUGAAGUUUUGCUCUGUAGCAGGUUUCUUCCUCUAGGGGGCUUGCCCUCACUUUAAUUCAACAGACUCUGUUAGGACUGGGGCUAGGGUGAGACAAGGGAAGGACUUGUGUUAAAAAUUUCUGUUUAUUUGUAUAGAAGUGGGGAUUGGAGUGACAGAGCCCCUGUCUGCUGUUUCACUUUCCAAAUGUGCAUAACAACUGGGGAUGAGAUGAGGUCAAAGCCAGGAGCUGAGGUCUUCCACAUGGAGGCUAGCAAACCAGUCACUUGUGCCAUCACUGCUGCCUCCCACAAUCUGCAUUAUCAGAAAGCUAAGUCAAGAGCCAGAGCCAGGAAUUGAACUCAGGUACUCCAUUGUGAGAUACAGACAUAUUAACAACUGAACCAAAUGCCCACCCCUUGUGCACAAUAUAUAAGGAGAUGAUUAUCAUCAUGGUUAUGCAAGUACAAAUUCUGCAUUUGCAAGACCCCAAGAGUGGGUGCCUCCUUGGGUGUUAUGCCCUGGAUGCCUUCUUCCUUCCCCACAGUCCAGGCCCUGAACUGGACAGGGAACUGACUCAAAUCUGAAGAUUGGUUGAGAGCCACAACAAUCUAAUAUGGUAACUCAAUUCAAACAUCUGUUCACCAGAUGUAAAGCUUCCCUGCAUAUACAAAAGAAGCCGUUAGUAUGCAGUCUAAAUACUUCAGUUCUAGGGACACCAUGACCAACACAAACACAUUGAAAUUCAAACUUUGAUGGUCACUACUUUGUCUCUACCCAUAACCACAUGUUCUUGGGCGUGAUUUGGUGUUUCUUCUUGGCUCUAACACCAGGAUCCUAUAAUGCCCAAUGAAUUUAGGGAAUUUGGUUCAUUGACAGCCGCUCCCACCAUCAUUCUGGCUUAAAGAUAAUUUUGCUCCCACGUACUGUAUGCUCAUAGAGUGAGGAAAUCAUUUUGAAAUUGUGCACAAUUAUUAUAUGUCAAUUAAAAAGAAUAAGCCUAAAUGAACAAAAGUGGAAUAGUCACUGAGUCUACUGGUGGAGCCAGUUAAGAAAGAUGCAUGGUCUACACACUGUUACAUUUUGUGACAGUAUGAAAACUGCUGUGCCGCACGUUUCCACUUGUUAGACAUGUCAAGUUCACAGUUCAGUGGUACAGCCAAACUGACACUGGGCACAAAUAACACCAUCUCAUUUAUAACAGCAGCUGUGUCCAGCUGAUCUGCCUGCUGUCUGUUCAUGUUGAUCUGCUUUGAAGGGGUCCAGGCUUUCAGAGCACGGUUAGAUAGAGAACACCAAGUGCCUAUAAUGGCCCCAAAGGGCAUCGAUGGCAUCUUUAAUCCCAGGACUAGUUGGUCAGACAAGAAAUUAAUACCAAGCCCUUGUUAGUUCCAAGCUAGGGCUGGUCUUGGGUACAUUUGGAGGGGAUCUUUUAAAUAAACCUAGGUAAAAGCUAAGGAAACAGAAUUACGAAGAAGGAACAUAAGCUGACAUAGCAAAGUGUUCUGAAAUUCUUACUUCCAUGAAUUUAUUUCCAAUCACUUUUCGCCUCCUUCAUACCAAGAAAUAUGGCAGAAAUCUACACUUUUGCUCACAAACUCUGAGUUCUUUUUGGAUGAGAUAAACAAUCUCAAAUUCCUCUUUUUACAUUAGUUCUCCUCAGUGCCAGAAAGUUUGAAUUGUUCCAUUAGUCUCUGGAUUUCAGAGUGUCUAAGCAUCAGAGUAGGUUUUAGGAUGUAAAUUAUUUUAUUUAAUUUUAAUUUUAAUUUUAAUUUAUUUGAAAGAGUUACAGAGAGAGGCAGAGACAGAGAGAGAAGGUUUUCCAUCCGCUGGUUCACUCCCCAGAUACCCACAACGCCUGGAGCUGUGCCGAUCUGAAGCCAGGAGCCAGGAGCUUCUUCUGGGUCUCCCACAUGAGUGCAGGGGCCCAAGUACUUGGGCCAUCUUCUAUUGCUAUCCCAGGCCAUAGCAGAAAACUACAUUGGAAGAGGGGCAGCUGGGACUAGAACCGGCACCCAUAUGGGAUGCCGGCACUUUCGGCCAGGGCUUUAACCUGCUGCGCCACAGUGCCAGCCCCAGGAUGUAAUUAUGUUUAAGGUAGUUGUGAACUUUAAACCGUGAGUCCUUUAUAGAAAACUGAAGGACUUUCCUAAACUACCUCAUGGUCUCCUACUGUAAUUAAACAACAACUUAUAAUUAAUGCUUUCUUUGCUUUAAUAA